rnacentral:rRNA from 1 species
UAGGGAAUCUUCCACAAUGGGCGAAAGCCUGAUGGAGCAACGCCGCGUGUGUGAUGAAGGGUUUCGGCUCGUAAAACACUGUUGUAAGAGAAGAAUGACAUUGAGGGUAACUGUUCAAUGUGUGACGGUAUCUUACCAGAAAGGAACGGCUAAAUACGUGCUAG